GGGGAAUUUUCCGCAAUGGGCGCAAGCCUGACGGAGCAACGCCGCGUGAGGGAUGAAGGCCUCUGGGCUGUAAACCUCUUUUAUCAAGGAAGAAGAUCUGACGGUACUUGAUGAAUAAGCCACGGCUAAUUCCGUGCCAGCAGCCGCGGUAAUACGGGAGUGGCAAGCGUUAUCCGGAAUUAUUGGGCGUAAAGCGUCCGCAGGCGGUUUUACAAGUCUGUCGUUAAAACGUGGAGCUCAACUCCAUUUCGGCGAUGGAAACUGUAAGACUAGAGUGUGGUAGGGGCAGAGGGAAUUCCCGGUGUAGCGGUGAAAUGCGUAGAUAUCGGGAAGAACACCAGUGGCGAAGGCGCUCUGCUGGGCCAUAACUGACGCUCAUGGACGAAAGCCAGGGGAGCGAAAGGGAUUAGAUACCCCUGUAGUC
rnacentral:rRNA from 2 species